CUGCGAGUUCGCGGGAGAGUAAGUUAUUGCCAGGGUUUUUAUUUUAUACUUUAAACUUUGAAUUUAUUUUUUAAAUGUUUAUAUUAUUUGAAUAAAACAUUCAAAUAAUAUAAAAAACAAUAUAUAUAUUGACAUGGAUUAAACAAAGAUAUAUAUUAUUCUAUGUUGUAUGAACAAAUUGGCAAAAUAGAGAUGGAAGAUAAAAAUAUGGUCAAAGUAAUAAGAGUCUAUGGUGAAUGCCUAGGA
rnacentral:misc_RNA from 1 species